AGGAGCUUACGUUCUCGUGGUCGAGGUGCCUGAGGAGCUUGAUCUCCCGGAGCGUGCGCUUGGCGUCCAUGUCGUUGUUGAACGCGUUGGCGAUCUUCUUUAUCGCCACCAUCUCCCUCGUCUCAAAGUUCAUCACGGAGCUGUAGGCACCAGCACACGGAAUUCAGAAGAGAAAUUAGAAAAACAAAGCACCAAAAAGUACUCCGAAUAGACAUGCCAACCAACGAUCCCGUAGGCGCCGCGGCCAAUGGGCAUGAUGGGCGGCUGGUACUUGUUCGUCACCUCGAACUUGUUCCCGAAGAUGUCGUAGAGCAGGUACCGGCCGCCGUGCGUCAUCGUCGGCCUGAACUCCGCCACCGGCGCCCCGUCC
rnacentral:sRNA from 1 species